GAUGAACGCUGGCGGCGUGCCUAAUACAUGCAAGUCGAGCGAACAGACGAGGAUCUUGCUCCUCUGAUGUUAGCGGCGGACGGGUGAGUAACACGUGGAUAACCUACCUAUAAGACUGGGAUAACUUCGGGAAACCGGAGCUAAUACCGUAUAACAUGUUGAACCGCAUGGUUCAACAGUGAAAGACGGUCUUGCUGUCACUUAUAGAUGGAUCCGCGCCGCAUUAGCUAGUUGGUAAGGUAACGGCUUACCAAGGCAACGAUGCGUAGCCGACCUGAGAGGGGGAUAGGCCACACGGGAAGUGAGACACGGUCAAGACUCCUAAGGGAGGCAGCAGUAGGGAAUCUUCCGCAAUGGGCGAAAGCAUGACGGAGCAACGCCGAGUGAGUGAAGAAGGUCUUCGGAUCGUAAAACUCUGUUAUUAGGGAAGAACAAAUGUGUAAGUAACUAUGCACGUCUUGACGGUACCUAAUCAGAAAGCCACGGCUAACUACGUG
rnacentral:rRNA from 1 species